rnacentral:lncRNA from 1 species
CCCUGAUAUGUUCUGCGCUCUUACAAUUCAACUUUUUUUUUUCUCUUACCAUGUCGUGUUCUAAGAUUAAUUCGUACAAAGUAAAAUCUACAAAUAGAAAAGAAUAAGUUCGAGAAAGUAAGUCUGAUAGAAAGAUUUCAGAGUGUGAAAAAUAAAACAUUCCAGUUAUUAGAAAUUCAUAUAUAGUUAGAAUUUGUAAUAUUAUUCUUUUUUUUUUCUUUUUUUUUUUUUUN